UACUUAUUUUGUAAGACGACAUUCUUGUCUUGCAUUACAGAAAUCAAAUCAAGUUUGGUUUAAAUUUCAUAAGAUAAGAAGAACCUGAAUUCCUUUAUAUUGAUAACUCCAGUACCAAUUGUAACUCUGAUCGUGAGGUUAAAUUAGGAAAGCAUGACUCUUUUGAAACCAUCGUUGAAAAUCUUCUCAUGCGUAAAUAGGUUUUCCUCUAGUGUAUCCAAUAAGAUUCACCCGUUGUAUAAACACACACAAGUAUCAGAAAACGUGUUUUUAAUCCAGGAGAAAUAUUUCAUUUCCUGGAACCUUGCCAACAUAUUUUUUAUUCGAGGAUCAGACAGAGAUCUUCUGGUGGAUACUGGAGUAGGUAUUUUUAACCUUCCAGCUUAUCUGACCAGCGCGCAGCUGAGAAAUGCACCUGACAAGCCUUUAGAUGUUGUUCUUACUCACGCUCAUUUUGAUCAUUCUGGAGGAGCACAUCAGUUCUCAAAAGUUUUCAUACAUAAAUUGGAAGAUGAAACUGUAAAAACAGGAAACAGGAGAAUGACAGCGAGCUGGGUAACUAGGGAAGAAGUUGUUCCUAAACCAACCGGAACCUGGAAUCACUUAGAAUACAGAGUUCUACCAUCCAAAGUGUUUCCGAUUGAAAAUAAUUUUGAAUUUGAUCUUGGCGACAGAACAUUUAAGGUUUUACAUAUUCCUGGACACUCUCCAGGUUCGAUAGCUUUAAUAGAUGAGAUAGGUGUUCUAAUUACAGGAGAUACUCUCUACAAGACUUCACAUGGAUUGAUUGAUUGGUAUCCAGGAAGCAGUUGUUACAGGAUGAGGAGUAGUGUUGAGAAAUUGGUUAAUCUUUGCAGGCAACAUAAGGUAGAAACAAUUCUACCAGGACAUAACCAGGGGUCCGGAACAAGCAGAGUAUACUGGCCCCCCCCCCCUCCUCCUCCACUCCCAACAGACGUCUUUAAACUCAAAACAGUUGUAAACAGUGAGGGAAUCUACUCUAUAUCUAUCAGUAAAGGAAUCUGCGAACUUUCAAGAUGGCGGUCACAAAAGCUGAUUUGAGUAAACUAGUUACCAGCCUCAAUGCUUAACUCAAGUUUGAAAACCAUGUCUUGGGUGAAAUUCGUCAGCUGCAAAAAUCCAUCGAAGAUCUAGAUGCUACUGCUAAAGAAAACAAGGAUGACAUUAAAUCACUCAUGGAUCGAACUCAAGCUCUUGAAACACAGAACACCCAGAAGGAUAACAAAAUCAAAUAGUUAACAGACAAAAUUAACGAUACGCAACAACAUCAGAGGAACUUCAGUUUCCGUAUCAAGGGAUUGCAUGUACCAAAGGAAUACAAAGAUAGAGAAUUCCUGAAAUACGUAUAUACCAAAGCAAUCCAACCAACUCUUGAAUUUCAAAAGCUGAAAGGGGAACUAAGCCAAGUACCAGAAUAUAACAAAGUUAUUGAACAAGGGCAUAUCCUUCCAUUACGUUCAUCUCCAACUGGUUAAAGACGUUGUCAAACAGGUUUUAAGUAGAAAUGAGGGAAUUGAUGCUGGGGAGUUUUAUCUCAAACAAUUCUCAGUAUUUAGAGCGGAGAAAAAGAGACUG
rnacentral:misc_RNA from 1 species